AAAUGAAUAGACGGGGGCCCGCACAAGCAGUGGAGUAUGUGGUUUAAUUCGAAGCAACGCGAAGAACCUUACCAGGUCUUGACAUCGAGUGACGAACUAAGAGAUUAGUUUUUCCUUCGGGACACGAAGACAGGUGGUGCAUGGUUGUCGUCAGCUCGUGUCGUGAGAUGUUGGGUUAAGUCCCGCAACGAGCGCAACCCUUACCUUUAGUUGCUACGCAAGAGCACUCUAAAGGGACUGCCGUUGACAAAACGGAGGAAGGUGGGGAUGACGUCAAAUCAUCAUGCCCCUUAUGACCUGGGCUACACACGUACUACAAUGGCAAUUAACAAAGAGCAGCAAAGCGGUGACGCAGAGCGAAUCUCCAAAAAUUGUCCCAGUUCGGAUUGCAGGCUGCAACUCGCCUGCAUGAAGUCGGAAUUGCUAGUAAUCGCAGAUCAGAAUGCUGCGGUGAAUACGUUCCCGGGCCUUGUACACACCGCCCGU
rnacentral:rRNA from 1 species